rnacentral:lncRNA from 10 species
CCGCGCCCCGGGCCCCGCGCGCAUACCUGGCGAGGCCACGAGGGGAUUCUGCGGGCCGAGCCCCGCCUGGGCUGCGCCGCCGCAGGCGGGAGAGGCUGAGGAUUCUUUUGGGAAGCCCCUCCGCCGGCUGUAACCCCAGGGCCGUGCCACCCUCCUGAUCACCGCAAGCAUGGACCCCCCAGCACGCUGCGGCUGUUGUCCACACCAAGGGUGGCCUACAGAGGGAAGUGAGGACCUUGGGACUUCCUCCAGGACAGCCCUCGCUGUCCAAAUCUCCACCUGCUGCAGAGCUGCCUCCAGUCAAGCCCUUGUUUCCAGCUUUCUGUGCCCUAAAUAAACUUCUGCUGGGAUUGAGCCAUCAGCAUUCUGUGGUGGGCGUCGCUGCUGCGAGGUUGCCCUCGUGCACACAAGCUCCUCACAGGACUUCCAGGAUGAUAUGGAAGAGUGACUGAGAGCAGCCGCCCGGUGCUUCCCAACCUUAGAGGGAGGUCACGGGCAGUCUCCCUGCGAUGCUGGCCACAGGUGUGAGGAAGACAGUCCUUAUAGGAAAAUGCCCUCUCGUUCUUAUUCUCUACUUUAAAAAAUCUUUAAAUCAUGAGUAUAAUAAAUGUUAUCAAAUGCCAU